GACGAACGCUGGCGGCGUGCUUAAUACAUGCAAGUCGAACGGAGUGGCGAACGGGUUAGUAACACGUGGGUGACCUGCCCUGCACUUCGGGAUAAGCCUGGGAAACUGGGUCUAAUACCGGAUAGUGUGAGAUGGGCUCGCGGCCUAUCAGCUUGUUGGUGGGGUAAUGGCCUACCAAGGCGGCGACGGGUAGCCGGCCGGAGAGGGUGUACGGCCACAUUGGGACUGAGACACGGCCCAGACUCCUACGGGAGGCAGCAGUGGGGAAUAUUGGUCAAUGGGCGAGAGCCUGAACCAGCCAAGUAGCGUGCAGGAUGACGGCCUAUGGGUUGUAAACUGCGGGAAACAUCACGUAGGUACCAUACGAAUAAGGACCGGCUAAUUCCGUGCCAGCAGCCGCGGUAAUUC
rnacentral:rRNA from 1 species